CCCGGGCAGCCGCUGGUUCAGAAGUGAAUCAGAGGAAAGUCCAUGCUCGCACUGUCUGCGAUGACAGUAGUGAUUGUGCUGGUCCAAUCAAUAAGGCCAGGCAGCCGCAAGGCUGACGGCGGAUGAGAGCCUAAAGGCAUUGCCCAUGGCCGACGUCCAUAAAGUGUCACAGUGACGGAGCUGGUCCGGAAACGGGACAGGUGGAACGCGAUAAACCCCGCAAGCGAGAAAUCCAAAUUCGGUAGGAGAACUUCCAGAGGCGAACUGAAGCCCGCGGGAGCUGCGCAAGCAGAGAUAAAUGGCUGCCAUCCGGCAUUGCCGGAGACAGAACAUGGCUUACAG
rnacentral:RNase_P_RNA from 1 species